CUACCAUAUGAUGAAUAUGGAUUACACUAACUCACGACGGUCGUCUGAGUUCACUAUGAUGUAUUAAUCCGAUAAUUCUGAUGGUU
rfam:Cicer arietinum chromosome Ca3, whole genome shotgun sequence.